AACGAACGCUGGCGGCAUGCCUAACACAUGCAAGUCGAACGGGAUCCUAGCUUGCUAGGUGAGAGUGGCGGACGGGUGAGUAACACGUGGGAAUCUGCCUUUUGGUUCGGGAUAACCGCGGGAAACUGCGGCUAAUACCGAAUGCCCUCGAGAGAGGAAAGAUUUAUCGCCAGAAGAGGAGCCCCGCGUCCGAUUAGGUAGUUGGUGGGGUAAAGCCUACCAAGCCGACGAUCGGUAGCUGGUCUGAGAGGAUGAUCAGCCACACUGGGACUGAGAUACGGCCCAGACUCCUACGGGAGGCAGCAGUGGGGAAUAUUGGACAAUGGGGCAACCCUGAUCCAGCAAUGCCGCGUGAGUGAUGAAGGCCUUAGGGUUGUAAAGC
rnacentral:rRNA from 1 species